GCUGGCGGCAGGCUUAACACAUGCAAGUCGGGCGGUAGCAGAUCUAGCUUGCUAGAUGCUGACGAGCGGCGGACGGGUGAGUAACGCGUAGGAACCUGCCCAGUAGUGGGGGGAUAGCCCGGGGAAACUCGGAUUAAUACCGCAUACGCUCUACGGAGGAAAGAGGGGGCUUCGGCUCUCGCUAUUGGAUGGGCCUGCGUGAGAUUAGCUAGUUGGUGAGGUAAUGGCUCACCAAGGCGACGAUCUCUAGCUGGUCUGAGAGGAUGAUCAGCCACACUGGGACUGAGACACGGCCCAGACUCCUACGGGAGGCAGCAGUGGGGAAUAUUGCACAAUGGGCGCAAGCCUGAUGCAGCCAUGCCGCGUGUGUGAAGAAGGCUUUCGGGUUGUAAAGCACUUUCAGUGGGGAGGAAGGCCUCGUAGUUAAUAGCUGCGAGGAUUGACGUUACCCACAGAAGAAGCACCGGCUAACUCCGUG
rnacentral:rRNA from 1 species